rnacentral:rRNA from 1 species
GUGAUCGAGCGACGCCGCGUGUGCGAUGAAGCCCUUCGGGGUGUAAAGCACUGUCAGUGGGAACGAAGGUCCUGGAGGUUCUCUUCUGGGACUUGACGGUACCCGCAGAGGAAGCACCGGCCAACUCCGUGCCAGCAGCCGCGGUAAUACGGAGGGUGCAAGCGUUGUUCGGAUUCAUUGGGCGUAAAGCGCGUGUAGGUGGUCUGGUAAGUCCGAUGUGAAAUCUUCACCGCUCAACGGGAAGGGGUCAUUGGAUACUGCCAGUCUUGAGGUCGUUAGAGGGAACCGGAAUUCCUGGUGUAGCGGUGGAAUGCGUAGAUAUCAGGAAGAACACCGAUUGCGAAGGCGGGUUCCUGGGGCGAUCCUGACACUGAGACGCGAAAGCUAGGGGAGCGAACGGGAUUAGAUACCCCGGUAGUCCUAGCCGUAAACGAU